GGUAAAUGUGUUUUGCAUGCUAUCGAACGAUAAAAUUGGAAGGAUACAGAGAAGAUUGGCAUGGCCCCUGCACAAGGAUGACACGCACGGUCCAAGUUUAAAACAUGUAAUUU